rnacentral:rRNA from 1 species
CAUGAUUUAGCCAGUACCCCCAAGCAAAGAGACCUUUAGUUUGAUACCCCGAAACCAGGUGAGCUACCCCGAGACAGCCUAUAUUAAUUUAGGGCUAACCCGUCUCUGUGGCAAAAGAGUGGGAAGAGCUCCGGGUAGAAGUGAAAGACCUACCGAACCUGGUGAUAGCUGGUUGACUGAGAAAUGGAUAGAAGUUCAGCCUCGCACACCCCAAACCAAAAAUACUAUCACCAAGAUAUUAAGGGAAACGUACGAGAGUUAGUUAAAAGGGGUACAGCCCUUUUAACAAAGGAUACAACCUUUACAGGAGGAUAAAGAUCAUAAUGUAUAAGAUAUACUGUUCUAGUGGGCCUGAAAGCAGCCACCUAAACAGAAAGCGUUAAAGCUCGGACAGAAGGAAGUUUAUUAUACUGAUAAAAAAUCUUAUUCCCCUAGCUAUAUCAGACCAACCCAUGCCUCCAUGGAAGAGAUUAUGCUAAAAUGAGUAAUAAGAAGACCCGCUCUUCUCCCAGCACAAGUGUAAACCAGAUCGGACUGACCACUGGAACUUAACGAACCCAACCCCAGAGGGUAGUGUGAUUAACAAAAAACUCAAGAAGGCCUCACAUAACUAAUCGUUAACCCCACACUGGAGUGCUAUUUUAAGGGAAAGACUAAAAGAAGGGGAAGGAACUCGGCAAACACAAGCCUCGCCUGUUUACCAAAAACAUCGCCUCCUGCAACUAAACUGAGUAUAGGAGGUCCAGCCUGCCCAGUGACUACGGGUUCAACGGCCGCGGUAUCUUGACCGUGCAAAGGUAGCGCAAUCACUUGUCUCUUAAAUAGAGACCUGUAUGAAUGGCUAGACGAGGGCUUAACUGUCUCCCCCUUCCAGUCAGUGAAAUUGAUCUAUCCGUGCAGAAGCGGGUAUAAAUAUACAAGACGAGAAGACCCUUUGGAGCUUAAGGUACAAAAUUCAGCCACGUUAAACAACUCUAUAAGAAGCAAGAACUUAGUGAUAAUGAAAUUUUACCUUCGGUUGGGGCGACCGCGGAGGAAAAACAAGCCUCCGAGUGGACUGGGCCGAAUCCCUGAAGCCAAUAGAGACAUCUAUAAGCCGCAGAACAUCUGACCAAAAAUGAUCCGGCUAAAAGCCGAUCAACGAACCAAGUUACCCAAGGGAUAACAGCGCAAUCCCCUCCCAGAGCCCAUAUCUACGAGGGGGUUUACGACCUCGAUGUUGGAUCAGGACAUCCUAAUGGUGCAGCCGCUAUUAAGGGUUCGUUUGUUCAACGAUUAAAGUCC